rnacentral:rRNA from 1 species
GCAUAUCAAUAAGCGGAGGAAAAGAAACCAACAGGGAUUGCCCUAGUAAUGGCGAAUGAACAGGCAAAAGCUCAGAUUUGAAACCCUCGGGAUUGUAAUCUGGAGACCUGGAUUUGGCACGCUGACCAAGUCUUCUGGAACGGAGCGCCAUGGAGGGUGACAGCCCCGUAGCAGCAGCCGCAGUAAAUCCGGGUCGACGAGUCGAGUUGUUUGGGAAUGCAGCUCUAAGUGGGUGGUAUGCUCCAUCUAAAGCUAAAUAUUGGCGAGAGACCGAUAGCGAACAAGUACUGUGAAGGAAAGAUGAAAAGAACUUUGAAAAGAGAGUGAAAAAGUACGUGAAAUUGUUGAAAUGGAAGGCAAUGAGGUGCGAUUGACCCGGACGUUUGCGGGCAGCACAAAAGCGCAGGCCGCCUCGGCAUUGCCUGCGUGCAUACUGCCUCGCGGACCACCGGUUCUAACAACGCCUUAUUGCACCCGUCUUGAAACACGGACC